rnacentral:rRNA from 1 species
GACGAACGCUGGCGGCGUGCUUAACACAUGCAAGUCGAACGGAGUGGCGAACGGGUGAGUAACACGUGGGUGCUCUGCCUUGCCCUUCGGGAUAAGGUUGGGAAACUGGGUCUAAUCCCGGAUAGUUCAAGAUGAGCUCGCGGCCUAUCAGCUUGUUGGUUGGGUAAUGGCCUACCAAGGCGUCGACGGGUAGCCGGCCUGAGAGGGUGUACGGCCACAUAGGGACUGAGAUACGGACGAGACUCCUACUGGAGGCAGUAGUGGGGAAGAGUGCACAAGGGGCGGAAGCCGGAUGCAGCGACGCCGCGUGGGGGAGGAUGGCCUUCGGGUUGAAAACUCCUUUCGACAGGGACGCGGUACCUGUAUAGGAAGCACCGGCGAACUCCGUGCCAGCAGCCGCGGUAAUAC